rnacentral:rRNA from 1 species
CCUACGGGUGGCUGCAGUGGGGAAUAUUGGACAAUGGGCGCAAGCCUGAUCCAGCAAUACCGCGUGUGUGAAGAAGGCCUUAGGGUUGUAAAGCACUUUCAAUGGGGAGGAAAACCUACCGGUCAAUACCCGGUAGCUUGACAUUACCUGUAGAAGAAGCACCGGCUAACUCCGUGCCAGCAGCCGCGGUAAUACGGAGGGUGCAAGCGUUAAUCGGAAUUACCGGGCGUAAAGCGUGCGGUCAGAUGUGAAAGCCCCGGGCUUAACCUGGGAACUGCAUUUGAAACUGGCGGACUAGAGUUGAGUAGAGGGGAGUGGAAUUUCAGGUGUAGCGGUGAAAUGCGUAGAUAUCUGAAGGAACACCAGUGGCGAAGGCGACUCCCUGGACUCAAACUGACGCUGAGGUACGAAAGCGUGGGUAGCAAACAGGAUUAGAUACCCCAGUAGUC